UGGGGACAGCAGGUGGGAGCUUCCUAAGCCAGACAAAGGAGACCUGACAAGAAACUGUGCUGAAGGGACAAGCCCAAGGCAAAGGAAUGUCCGGUCACCUCCUCCCCUGGAGCAGGCAGCUGAGAUCUGCAUAGACAGGAGACAUUUUGCAAGACUCAACACCUGGAGCAGUGCUAACCAGGGCUCACUGCCUCGGGUAGAACUCCAUUUGCUGAGCUUUCCUGCUCCAGGUGGGCAGCCCUGAUGUCGGCCAAGCUCUACGUGCUCAUCAGCUGGCCUGAUGGCAGCCGUGUCAUCAGCAUGGAGAACAUCAAGGAGCCCCGCAAGCCCUUCCAUCUCUACGUUGUGGGUGAACAGGUGCUGGCCCGCUGCCCUGGCUUCAGUGGGCUCUACUGGGGGAUUGUGGAAGGCAUAAGUGAGCAUAAAGAUGCUUUGGAGAAGAAGCUGCUGGAAGAUAGACAACUCCUGGAGAAGUUAAAAGACGAACCAGCUGUCCACAGCAUGAUGCCACCCCAGCCAAAAAAAUCCAGGAAAACCUUCCCAAAAUGGACCCCGGUGAAUGCAUGCAGGAAAUACCACACUGACAGGACUUACUCUGGGAAGCCACUGCUGCAGGCAGCUGAGCCCAUCCUGCCCUGCGGUGCUGGCAGCCCCUCCAUCACCAAGGAGAGAUGUACCCUGGGGCCACCCCAUCCCACCAGCACCUUCACCCCCACAGCCACUUUUGUCAGCCUGGCUGUGCCGGGGACUUCCCAGGGUGAGGAGGACAGAGCUGGCACCACUACCAAAGAUUACGUUGCCCUGGCAAUGAAGAGGAAGUCAGAUGGCAUCUUGUCCCAAUGCCAGCAACACAUCUGUCUGAACAGCUGUGAAGAUGGACAGCUGGACACUUUGCAGGACACGGGUGGUUUUGAGAGAGUUCAGAAAAGAUCUGCUCCCAGUGAAACGGAAAGGGAGAAGAUAGAGCAGCUGGAAAGGAUGGUCUUGGACCUCCAACAGGAUGUCCUCUCUCUGAAGAAGAAGGUACAGAGGCUGGAAUCCCUGUCCUUCCAGGAGGAGCCCCACCGGCAGCCCUGUGAGGUGGUGGAGCUCUUCAAUGGCUACACCAAGGAACAGCUCCGAGAAGCAAUCCGCUUUGACCAGAAGAUCAGCACUGCCUGCAAGACGCUGCUCUACAAGCUCUUCACGUCUGACUACAUCCAGAGCCACUCCAUCACGGGGCGCAGAGGCAACACUUUCCGAGAGGCAAAACCCAUGAUGGAUGAGCGCUGCAUCAAAAUCAUCAGGGUGCUGCUGAAACAGAAGUUUGGGGACCACCUCAGCGACACGGUGAUCACAGAGAAGAUACAAAACGUGCAGAAAGCUCUGAGGCAGAAGUUUAAGACAGAAUGUCUCUGACAUGGGGGUGGUUUGGUGUCUCUGGUCCUACCCUUCUCAUCAGUGCACCUGAGCGUCCCUCCCAAAAAUAUCGUGUCUGCAUUGCUGCUGCUUGGCUGAUUCCUCCUGAGGCACUGAAGAGGACACAGAUCUUUCACAAACAUCUACCUGCAUUAAUCAGAGGGAAGUUUGCUCAGCUUGGCUCCAGGUUUGCACAUCUGCCAGCACUUUACCAGUUCCUUCCACUACAGUCUGUGUGCCAAGCUCAACUCAUGGCUGGGUGUUGACCCCUGGGUCUUUUUGAUGGACACACUCAAAAGAUGGAGAUUUCCCAUUGGAUCCAAGCGUGGGUUGGUGAGCCAACCUUGCAGUGGUCAGGGAGGGAGAUUGGUGGGAGGGCAGGAGCUGCAGCCCCAACAAAGCAGCAGCUCCAUUUGCACAGGGACUUGGGAGCACCCAAUGUGACUUCUUGCAUAGCACAGCAGUCCCCUCAUCCUGUGGACAGCACCUACUCCCUUUUUGAACGCAUACUGCAGCUUCUCAUGGUAACAGAAGGGCAGGCUCAUUAACACCAUGCCAUAAAACCUUCAGAGAAGGAUUACUUCACUUUUCUCCCCCUCUGUUUUAAUGUGGCUGUCUGGAAGAAGUGUCUGCACUAAUGAAGCCUGCUGAACAAGAGAAGGUCUCCUAUGGAAGUUACACUGCAUUGAUUUUCCUUUUAAAACUAGAUUAUUUCCAUGGAGAAAUCCUGCAUGUUUCUGUGAAUGGGGGCAAGCAAUGGGGGCAAAAAGUGGCCAACUGCAGGAAUUUGCAGCAGGCUCAGAUCUGGUCCCAUGCUCGUUAGGAGAACACUGUGUGGAGAAGAAACAUUCAAUAGUGAAUGUUUGUGUCUGAUUCUGCAGAGGGAGAAUGGUGCACCGAUGGCUCAGGAGCAACAUGGAGCCUUUUUUCAUCUCCUCUGUGCUUUCCUGGCCCGGUGCAAAGUUGGAUGAAGUCAAUGUUAACAUCAUUAAAUAUCUUCAGUUUAACUGAAUUUGUCUGGACCAAGGGAGCAAUUCAAAGCUCUAUCUACCCACCAUUCUCUGUGAGAAGUAACCUGCUAACCCUGCCUGUCCCUGCAAAACUGUAUCAUAGAUCUGCAGUAAUCUUUGGUGACAAAUGGUCUGAAAAGUAGAAAAGGAAGAAGCCCAUGAUUUUUUUUUGUGAGCAGAUGAGUUGUCUGGAUUAGGAAGGACAACAGAGGCACUUCCAGCUGCAUGGUCGUUGUCCUGGUGUUUCUUAUUAAAAU
ensembl:lncRNA